AAUUCUCAACUACACUGAUUUUGUUAGUGUAGAUUGGAUUUGGGGGAACAUCUUUUGCGGGCUUUGUAAACAUGAAGUCGGCUCCCCUGAAAUUGAUUUAGCGGUACCUUGGCAGAACCGUCUACAGGUGUGAUAAUUUAUCUACAUCUUUGAUGUCUGCAUGAAAAGGUCAUGCUGCUUCCUAACCUCACUCCUUAUUUAAAGGGGUGCACUAGUGACAA
rnacentral:misc_RNA from 1 species